AGCGCGUCCCAGCCCUGGCGUCCCGAGGGGAGGAGCGCGGGGUCUCGCAGCGAACCGGGACGGCUGAGGGUUCUCUUGCCGAGGGUGGUGUAACCUGGAUGAGUCUGCUUGGAAAACAGCAAAGCUAUGACAAAGGUGUCAUGGGAACUUCACUUGGGAGCUGCAGGUCUUUGGCUCCACAAUGAGGGAGAGGUUAUUGUCUUGGAAGAAGCAGGAGCAAGGCAGAGAACAUUUGCUCAGGGUCACCUGAGGCGCAGCUUGGUACAAUGUGCGAAGACCAUCAAGCCCACAGGAUGCUCGUGAAAGUGUCAAGCCCACCUGAACCAUGGAGCUUCCCACAUCAACCCACAUGCUGCUCUCUCCCUCCUCACCCACAACAGCCCGACGUGGCUUAUGGCAUCAAGUUACCCUGAAAGGAAUGCCUAAUUUUCCUGGAAAAACCAAGUGAUUUUGCUGUUAGGUGACAAGGAUUGGUCCCCAGCCAGGACAUAUGUCCUGGAGCUCAAAGAGAUGGAACAGUUGCUCCUCCCAGAGUUAAGCCACCAUUAGAGCGAGCUGUGAGUGGGUGGGGUGAGACAUGCUAAAAGGAAAUACUAGAGAGCUGAGUAAACAGUGUAAGUUGGAGGGAAGAGAGAAGCAGCAUGGCAGAGCUUUGUGUCAGCUCUGUUCUGGUGACUGGGGCCAACCGGGGACUCGGUCUGGGGUUUGUCCAGCAUUUCCUGAGGAUGCCAAAACCACCUCAGUGGAUCUUUGCGACCUGUCGGGACCCCAAGGGACAGCGAGCACAGGACCUACAGAAUUUGGCAUCCAAACAUCCCAACCUGGUCAUCAUCGCUCUUG